ensembl:lncRNA
GAGCGUUACAAGGAGACACCAAAAGGCACGAUGUUUCCAAGCAGAUGGUUUAAGAUUUCUUUUUUCAUGAUGAUGAUGCUUCAGUUUGCAGCAACAGCAACCUGGCAACAUUUAGCGUUUAUUGUAAGAGAUGGUGAUGAAGUCGCGUUGCCGUGUAAAAAUCCAGUAGAUGGUCAGCGUAACUGUGACAGUACAACCUGGAUGUUCAUGAAUUUAAGAAGUGCAAAAACAGUAACACUCUUUGAACAUGAUCAGUUUCACAAAGAAGCUGGAGCUAAGUUAGGUAGACUGAGCGUUACAGCAAACUGUUCUCUAGUUAUUCAGAAGGUCACAGAUCAGGAUGUUGGUCUGUACAAAUGCAAACGGUUCAUAUCAGGAAACCAACAAGACUCACCUGUUCAUCUUUCUGUUAUUCACAUGACUGAACAAAAAAGCAACGAUAAAGUCAUCUUUUACUGCUACGUGUUCUCAUAUGAAGGCUGUAGGCAUUCAGUGGAGUGGGUCUACGAGGGUAAAGAGAAUAUAUCCUCAGUCAUGGAGAUUUCAUCACGUUCCUGUAAUUCCAAUGUGGCAUUUGAGACAUCUCACUUUAAUCAGAAGUCAAUUUUGUCUGAAUUACUGUUUGUAAGGUGUAAAGUGACAGAUGAAGACAAAAGAGUGCAGCUGUUUCCCUUCAGCCCUCCGUCCUCGGGUUGGUCAUGGUGGUAUGUUUAUGUGACUGUGGGUUUAUCAGCACUCUUAAUUAUCAUAGUGAUCAUCUCAUGGAAGAAAAUGAAAGGAAAUAAAGAACAAAAGGAAGGAAAUAAGGAACCAAGCUUAAGCCCCAAAGAGGCUCAGUCUGGUUCAGAAGCCAGUCACAACACUGUGAGAUCACACACACUACACCCAGUUCAAAGUUACACUUACUGCUGUAUAGGGAUGGGUACCGGUAUCUGGCACCGGUUCUGACAUAAACGGUACCCAGACCGAAAAGCAGGGCACAUUUCGGUGCUUCAUUUCGGUGCUUCAUUUCGGUGCUUUUUUUCCCUGAGAUGUCACACACUUUGGAUUCUAGCCAAUCAUUUUACCUUUGCAAGUGUAGUAGGCGGGCCCAGGUACGUACGUUCUUUUAGAGCAGAGCUACAGAUUAGCUGCCCAAGGUUAAGCGGUCAAAGUCUGGCUGUACUUCACAGCAAAAGAUGCAAACUCAGCAGCCUGCAACAAGUGCUUUAAGGUGACACUGUGCAAAGGAGGUAACACCUCGAAUCUGAUGAAACACCUGGUGACGCAUAGCGUUUUUUUAAAGGCUGAGAAAUGCACCGUAUUUGAUAGCUUGCUGCGAGACCUCACACCGUGCACAUCUACUGCGGGUGUGGUGCCUGUUAUCGACCCGGAGUUAGCAACAUGCACCCGAAGAGGAGAGUCCUGGCCCCUAGCCCUGCCAGUGUAGCAGAAAUGAUGACGGAUGAUGAUGGCAGCAGCAGCCGUUCUUCUCUGCGUGAGUAGCUUAAUGUUGUUCGUGUGUAAGCUAACCACGUUAUUAAAUGAAUGCAUGUAAGGUGAACUAGCAAACACUGUCAUAGUUACAUGUGGCUGUCUUCUUGUUUGAUGGCAGAUGCUCCCUUCACCCUGGCCAAAAAGGCUAAAAUGACCAAAGAAAAAGUGGGAAACAGCUAAACAUGAGAGGUUUUUGGACAAAGUUGGUGUUUUUUUUCCCCAUUGUUUAAGCACUGCUUCCAACCAAGAGUGAUACCAUAUAUACCCUAUAGCUGCAGAAAAGGCUAACAUUGUUAUCUUUUUACAAAAAACAGCUAAACAUGAAAGGUUCUUGAUUCUUUAAGCACCGGUUCGAGCACCGUUUAAGCACCGGCACUGCUUCAAAAGUACCGGUUUGGUACUGGUAUCGGAUAAAACCUAAACGAUACCCAUCCCUACUGCUGUAUUUGUUCAUUCUAACAUGUCUGUUUAAAAAAACCCCAGUGCUUGACAAAGGUUUUGAAUUCAAAAUAAUUUUGUAUCCAUUAUAAUGUCUUCAAUUUAUAGGCUGAACCUGACGACGGUGUUUCUUAUGCCACCAUCAGCUUUGCCAAGAAGACCCAGAAUAAAGCCAGGGUACCCUGUAAUGGUGCAGAUGAUACUGUGACAUACAGCACUGUAAACGCUUCCUCAUCUUCUGCUGGAUAUUCUUCUUCCAGUGAUCUCUAUUCCAUCAUCAACAAACCAAAGAAAUAUAUGACUGGAUUAUGAUUUCUUUUCUUGUGCACUAUCGUACAUGAAGCCACCGAGAUAACACAGACUCCCUCUAGAGGUGGAGAGGGUGAAAAUAUUCCCAGAUUGAAAAUGCAAUAAAAUGAGAUACUUAUGUGAAAUGGA